GAAACUUGCCCCGAGAUGAGUUCUCCCUGAGACUUAGAGUCUCCUGAAGGAACGUUGAAGACGACGACGUUGAUAGGCCGGGUGUGUAAGCGCAGCGAUGCGUUGAGCUAACCGGUACUAAUGAACCGUGAGGCUUAACCUUAC
rnacentral:rRNA from 2 species